rnacentral:rRNA from 1 species
AACGAACGCUGGCGGCAUGCCUAACACAUGCAAGUCGAACGAGACCUUCGGGUCUAGUGGCGCACGGGUGCGUAACGCGUGGGAACCUGCCCUUAGGUUCGGAAUAACUCCCCGAAAGGGGUGCUAAUACCGGAUAAUGUCUUCGGACCAAAGAUUUAUCGCCUUUGGAUGGGCCCGCGUUGGAUUAGCUAGUUGGUAGGGUAAAAGCCUACCAAGGCGACGAUCCAUAGCUGGUCUGAGAGGAAGCUCAGCCACACUGGGACUGAGACACGGCCGAGACUCCUACGGGAGGCAGCAGUGGGUAAUAUUGGACAAUGGGCGAAAGCCUGAUCCAGCAAUGCCGCGUGAGUGAUGAAGGCCUUAGGGUUGUAAAGCUCUUUUACCCGGGAUGAUAAUGACAGUACCGGGAGAAUAAGCACCGGCUAACUCCGUG